UAUAUUUUUGUGUCAGUGUUUAGAUGUAUUAUAUGUGCCACAUCUGAAAUAAAUGUAUUUUUUUGUUUUUAUUUUACAGCCACAAUGAACGAAAGGUGACUUGCAAACAUCCAGUUUCAGGACAGCCAUCCCAGGACAACUGUAUCUUUGUUGUAAAUGAGCAAUCAAUUUCAAAAAUGACAUCACAUGAGAAAAAGGACAGACCUGUGAGCACAAUAAGUGAAGCUUCUAAUUACACCUUAACAUCUGAGUAUGCUGCCCAUCCUGGGAGUCCUGUUGGCAGAGCUUCAAGAUCAUCAAAAAAGUUCAU